GACGAACGCUGGCGGCGUGCCUAAUACAUGCAAGUCGAGCGGAUGACGGAGGAGCUUGCUCCUCCUGAUUCAGCGGCGGACGGGUGAGUAACACGUGGGCAACCUGCCCUGUAGAUUGGGAUAACUCCGGGAAACCGGGGCUAAUACCGAAUAAUCCUUCGGACCUCAUGGUCCGAUGUUGAAAGACGGCAUCUCGCUGUCACUACAGGAUGGGCCCGAGGCGCAUUAGCUAGUUGGUGAGGUAACGGCUCACCAAGGCCACGAUGCGCAGCCGACCUGAGAGGGUGAUCGACCACACUGGUACUGAGACACGGCCCAGACUCCUACGGGAGGCAGCAGUAGGGAAUCUUCCACAAUGGACGAAAGUCUGAUGGAGCAACGCCGCGUGAGUGAAGAAGGUUCUCGGAUCGUAAAACUCUGUUGUGAGGGAAGAACAAGUACCGGAGUAACUGCCGGUGCCUUGACGGUACCUCAUUAGAAAGCCACGGCUAACUACGUGCCAGCCGCCGCGGUAACAC
rnacentral:rRNA from 1 species